rnacentral:tRNA from 1 species
GUUCUCGUAGCUCAGUAGGAUAGAGCGUUGGAUUCCUAAUCCAAAGGCCGUGGGUUCGAUUCCCGCCGAGGACACCA